rnacentral:lncRNA from 1 species
CAGGAUCUUCUUAAGGAACCGCCUGCUCAGAAGACAUUUUUUGGGGCUACGAAAACAAAUGGGAAACUACUAAAUAAGCUGUAUCCGUAUGCAAAAUUUUGGCAGAAACAUCCUAGGAGCAAGCAGAGAAGAAAGGAAGAUCUGCUUUCUCAGAGCUCGAAAUUAACCUCCCCAAAUUCAGUAGAGAAAAUUCUCCGAAAUUACUACCCAACUUAAAAAAGAAAUUAACCCUUUGAUUGAGAAUGUGUGUUGAAUGGGA